UUGCACAGAGAACAUCCAUGGGUGCUAAUGUAGCUCUCCCUGGCCUCCUAUAUCUGUGCUACAGUAACUCUGGUCUGUACCUCUGCAUCAGGAGAGUAAUUGUCUCCCCUGCAUGUAUUCAGCGGAUCAGUAUAGGC